rnacentral:rRNA from 1 species
UCGGGAAUUUUGGGCAAUGGGGGAAACCCUGACCCAGCAACGCCGCGUGAAGGAUGAAGUAUUUCGGUAUGUAAACUUCGAAAGAAUAGGAAGAAUAAAUGACGGUACUAUUUAUAAGGUCCGGCUAACUACGUGCCAGCAGCCGCGGUAAUACGUAGGGACCAAGCGUUGUUCGGAUUUACUGGGCGUAAAGGGCGCGUAGGCGGCAUGACAAGUCACUUGUGAAAUCUCUGGGCUUAACCCAGAACGGCCAAGUGAUACUGUCGCGCUAGAGUGCAGAAGGGGCAAUCGGAAUUCUUGGUGUAGCGGUGAAAUGCGUAGAUAUCAAGAGGAACACCUGAGGUGAAGACGGGUUGCUGGGCUGACACUGACGCUGAGGCGCGAAAGCUAGGGUAGCAAACGGGGAUUAGAUACCCAAGUAGUCCCUGAGCGGGCUGGCAAGGCGCAU